UUUGAAUGAGUGAAUUUUAUCAGGUUAGUAGUAGUUAUGUUCUUGAAAAUUAAAGAAGAUGGCGGUAUUUUAGUCUAUUCAGAGGAACCUGUCCUAUAAUUGAUGGUCCACGAUUUAUUUUACUUAUUUUCUUAGUUUGCAUAUCGCCGUAGAUUGAAUAUUCUUUAAGGAGUAGAACGUUCAAGAGAUUUUUUUUGUGAAGGUAAAUCAGGUCAAGAUGUAGCAUAUAGAUAAGAAGAGAUGGGUUACAAUAAAUUUAUUUAAAACGAAUUAAUUAAUGAAAUUUAUUAUAAAGGUGGAUUUGAGGGUAA
rnacentral:rRNA from 1 species